AGUGGUCACGCGCCUGGCACAGCGCACGGUGAAGCUCCGCCACGUCUAGCGCCCAGGCGCGCUCCUCGUCUAGGGAUGCCUCCAUCACGCCUCUCAAUGUACCGCGCCACGUCUUCCCGGAUUAGCUGGAUGCCGGAGCUGACGCUGUAGGCCCCUGGACUCGGGCAGCACAGGAUGGGAGGUACAGAUGCGCCUGGAGCGAACGGGAAGGAAGGGAGAAGGCUCGUGGACCCUGGUGAGGCCACCACCCUCCCUGCUCAGAGCUCCCCCUGCUCUACGUCCCUCUGUGUUAAAGGACACAGGCAGGGUCAGCAAAGGUGAAGGCGGGAACACAGGAGGCCAAGAGCCACAGACACUGCCCAAGAGGAGCCUCCUGAACAGCCAUCUGAGAGGAAGCCUCUCCCUGCCAUGGACGCCCAGCAGGCCCUACCUGGCGAUGAGCAGCUCCACCAGGUGCAGGUGGCCGCAGGUGGCCGCAGCAUGCAGAGGCGUCCAGCACUCACUGUCACAGGCAUUGAUGUUGGCCCCAGCCUCCAGGAGCUGCUGCACCAUCUCUCGGAAAUCAUCGAUGCAGCACUG
rnacentral:antisense_RNA from 1 species